CUCCUCCAGCACCAUAAUUCAAAAGCAUCAAUUCUUCGGCGAUCAGACCAUAAAGAAGGCUGAUCACCGAAGAAUUUAUGCUUUUGAAUUAUGGUGCUAGAGGAG